rnacentral:rRNA from 1 species
UCCGUAGGUGAACCUGCGGAAGGAUCAUUACUAGAAUGAAAAGUGCUUAACUGCAUUUUUUCUUACACAUGUGUUUUUCUUUUUUUGAAAACUUUGCUUUGGUAGGCCUUCUAUAUGGGGCCUGCCAGAGAUUAAACUCAACCAAAUUUUAUUUAAUGUCAACCGAUUAUUUAAUAGUCAAAACUUUCAACAACGGAUCUCUUGGUUCUCGCAUCGAUGAAGAACGCAGCGAAAUGCGAUAAGUAAUAUGAAUUGCAGAUAUUCGUGAAUCAUCGAAUCUUUGAACGCACAUUGCGCCCUUUGGUAUUCCAAAGGGCAUGCCUGUUUGAGCGUCAUUUCUCCCUCAAACCCUCGGGUUUGGUGUUGAGCGAUACGCUGGGUUUGCUUGAAAGAAAGGCGGAGUAUAAACUAAUGGAUAGGUUUUUUCCACUCAUUGGUACAAACUCCAAAACUUCUUCCAAAUUCGACCUCAAAUCAGGUAGGACUACCCGCUGAACUUAAGCAUAUCAAUAAGCGGAGGAAAAGAAACCAACAGGGAUUGCCUUAGUAGCGGCGAGUGAAGCGGCAAAAG